rnacentral:tRNA from 1 species
UUUGAGUAGUUUAUUUAGAAUUAUAAUUUGUGGUGUUAUAGGUGAGUGUUUUCCUCAAAUC